UUUCCCCUCCCUGCCGACCUAACUUCCCGACGUCACUACCGCUUCGUCCAACCACAUAUGGCCAUAAAAUUAGUACCUAUAUCUUCGUCUUGAAACAAGCUUUCCAUCAAUAUAUGCCUUGCAUCCUAUCAUGCACCAUAGACGACGAAUCGAAGCCAAUAAGUUUACUGUAGUAAAUUGGGUUUUCCGGCUAUUUCUUCAAAUUUCGGCCAACUCCGGCCAAAUCAGAUGUUGAGGCUAAUUGAGCUUUGUUCAUCUUGCCAUGCUCUACUAAUCUACCAAGUUUCAUCAUCAAAUUGGAGCUGUGGAAGGAGAAUCGGAGAUUUAAGCAAAAUUGAGGGUUUUUCGGUUUUCAGUUUGCAGGCGAGAUUAGUGGAGGUCUGACGUACAUGGAGUCGAGGCAUAGUUGUCACUGCUUCCACAUUGUAGUUUUGAGUCUAGAAAUGGAAGGCAAGGAGUUAUUUGCGCAGAAAUGAGAAGAAAUGUAGAAAUGAGGUAAAGCUAUGGUACGUUAACAUUUCUCAUACAUCAACUAUUUUUACCCCUCUAAGGACUUAUAUUAUCACUUUGAGGACUAAUAUUACUAUUUUCAGGACUCAUAUGGUAAACUAAGAAAAUUUACCACUUUAAGGUUUUUAGAGAAGUUUCUAUUAGCAUAGAGAAGUUUCUACCAGCAUAGACUAAAAUCUAAAUUCACAACUAGACCACUCUGAGCUCCUUCCCUAUGGAAGGGUGGAAGAUCUCAUCCUUGGAAUUGUAAUGACCCCUUGGAUGACCAGUAGUAGCUCUAACUGCAAACAUUUGUAGCACGGCCCGAAGCCCAAUAGCACCAAUAAAACUCAGGACCAGUAACCAAACCCUAGCUGUAGCAUGAGCUUAAGGAAAAGUCUAUCUCUUGGAUCCCCUAUGAGUAGUGGGCACCCAAAAUGCUAAGGGAACCCAGCUCCGUGGAAAACAACCUCUGACGGCAGAAUCCUAGUCAAAUGCCGCCACCUAAUUCCGCAACCAGUUAGCCCAGUGAGCCAUAGCAAUGCCGCUUCGCCAAAAGAACCCUAUUGACUCCUCCCACAACAUCGACGACUCCACCCUAGGAUCACGACACCAGCGACAACCAUGUACCUCUCUGUCACCGCAAACUGAAACUCUGGCAACCUCCGCGAAACUCCUCCAUUCUGGUAAACACCCUGGGUCCAAACCAUUCCCACCACCAGCAUAUUGGCCACCAGCCCACACUGCAUCCCACCACAGCUAGAAGGGAUUCCCCCAACAUCAGUCAUUCGACGCCAAUCCAAAUCUCCGAGAGACCACAUCGAGAAGGCCGUCCCACCAUUAUAACCCCAAGAGGGAAGACACUCACAAGACUCACACGGAAGUAGACCUGCAUCAGAGGAUCAAAUAGAUUUAAUUGGAUUCGAAACCAAUAUCGAACAAAAUAUUCAAACCAAGGACAGGGAGAGAAAUUCAGAGCCUGGCACUCAGUACUAGGGCGGCGGAGAUACCUGUCAUCUUCUAAAUGGCGCCGCUAAGGUUCAAGCAAGAGAGGCCGAUGGACUCUAGUCAUCUCUUUUUUCUCUCUCCCUUACAAUAUUGACUACUAAAACUUUUGGUUUUUCAUUAUCAAUUUGAGAAAAUAAGUCAUUGAUUUCAGAAAAACCUUUCCUGUUUUUAUAUUCAAUUUAUUGAUUCAGUUCGUAUUUUACCUUUAGUAAUUGUUGGGAAACUAUGCCCUUCUAUGCUUUUAACUUUUUUGUUUUUGUUUUUUUAUGUUUCCUCUGAUUAAUUCUAUCAUCACUUUUAUAGAUUUUUGUUGAUUUUCAUGUGUGAUUGAGUUAGACUUUUUCAAUCAUAGAUUUAGGUAUUUGGGUCGAACUCUUUUUUUUUUUUUUUUUUUUGGUCGAAGAAAAUAAAGUUUGUAUUAGAUGUUUCAAAUGAUACACCACAAUACAAGAGCUACAAAAAACCCCAGCAAAUAGAGGCACGUAGGCCUAGCAAAAGAGAAUUAAAGCCCCUGACAGGCUUGGCCCAAAGAUAAUUUUAAAGCC